rnacentral:rRNA from 1 species
CUACUGGGGUAUCUAAUCCUGUUUGCUACCCACGCCUUCGAGCCUCAACGUCAGUUGUCGUCCAGUAAGCCGCCUUCGCCGCCGGUGUUCCUCCCAAUAUCUACGCAUUUCACCGCUACACUGGGAAUUCCGCUUACCCCUCCGACACUCCAGUUCUACAGUUUCCAAAGCAGCUCCGAGGUUGAGCCCCGGCAUUUCACUUCAGACUUGUUUAACCGUCUACGCUCCCUUUACACCCAGUAAUUCCGGAUAACGCUUGCCCCCUACGUAUUACCGCGGCUGCUGGCAC